rnacentral:rRNA from 1 species
UACUAGAGUAGCACUCGCAUAUCAAUAAGCGGAGGAAAAGAAACUAACAAGGAUUCCCCUAGUAACGGCGAGUGAAGCGGGAAGAGCUCAAAUUUGAAAUCUUAAAGGGUUUCCCUUUACGAAUUGUAGUUUAAAGAAGUGUUUUCUGUUGAGGUUUUGGUAAAAGUUCUUUGGAAUAGGACAUCAUAGAGGGUGAGAAUCCCGUAUUUGACCUUUACUUUCAACUUUGUGAUACACUUUCAAAGAGUCGGAUUGUUUGGGAAUGCAGUCCAAAAUGGGUGGUAAAUUUCAUCUAAAGCUAAAUAUUGGCGAGAGACCGAUAGCGAACAAGUACCGUGAGGGAAAGAUGAAAAGAACUUUGAAAAGAGAGUUAAACAGUACGUGAAAUUGUCAAAAGGGAAGCGUUUGACACCAGUGUUGUUUUUCUGAAAAUCAAUUAAAGAACUGUUUAUGCUAAGCUGUUUAGACUUUAUCAGCUAUCUGUUUAGUUUUGAGCUUUUCUUUAAUGCACUUUUCAGUUAACAAGUCAACAUCAAUUUCUUUUGCUGUAAAAAAGCUUGAGGAAGGUGGCUUGAGAUUCGUCUUAAGUGUUUAUAGCCUCUUGCCUAUGCAGUCGGAGAGAUUGAGGUCUGCAGCGUAGAUCCUUCGGGGCUAAAUGCAUUUGUGCUAAGUUAUAGCAUUUUAUAGACGACUUGUUGACUAUGAUUUGUCUUGUAGCUUACUCGCUUAUGUUAUUUUACCUACGCUUAGGAUGUUGAGCGCAUGUCUCUCUCU